GAUCCUGGCUCAGGUUGAACGCUGGCGGCGUGCCUAAUACAUGCAAGUCGAACGCUUUGUGGUUCAACUGAUUUGAAGAGCUUGCUCAGAUAUGACGAUGGACAUUGCAAAGAGUGGCGAACGGGUGAGUAACACGUGGGAAACCUACCUCUUAGCAGGGGAUAACAUUUGGAAACAGGUGCUAAUACCGUAUAACAAUGACAACCGCAUGGUUGUUAUUUAAAAGAUGGUUCUGCUAU
rnacentral:rRNA from 1 species